rnacentral:rRNA from 1 species
AUGCCCUUUGUACGGAAUAGCCUCUGGAAACGGAGAGUAAUACCGUAUGAGCCCUUCGGGGAAAGAUUUAUCGCCAAAGGAUUAGCCCGCGUUAGAUUAGGUAGUUGGUGGGGUAAUGGCCUACCAAGCCUACGAUCUAUAGCUGGUUUUAGAGGAUGAUCAGCAACACUGGGACUGAGACACGGCCCAGACUCCUACGGGAGGCAGCAGUGGGGAAUCUUAGACAAUGGGCGCAAGUGAUCUAGCCAUGCCGCGUGAGUGACGAAGGCCUUAGGGUCGUAAAGCUCUUUCGCCAGGGAUGAUAAUGACAGUACCUGGUAAAGAAACCCCGGCUAACUCCGUGCCAGCAGCCGCGGUAAUACGGAGGGGGUUAGCGUUGUUCGGAAUUACUGGGCGUAAAGCGCGCGUAGGGGAUUGGAAAGUUGGGGGUGAAAUCCCGGGGCUCAACCCCGAACUGCCUCCAAAACUAUCAGUCUAGAGUUCGAGAGAGGUGAGUGGAAUUCCAAGUGUAGAGGUGAAAUUCGUAGAUAUUUGGAGGAACACCAGUGGCGAAGGGGCUCACUGGCUCGAUACUGACGCUGAGGUGCGAAAGUGUGGGGAGCAAACAGGAUUAGAUACCCUGGUAGUCCACACCGUAAACGAUGAAUGCCAGACGUCGGGGGGCUUGCCCUUCGGUGUCACACCUAACGGAUUAA